rnacentral:rRNA from 1 species
AUUGAACGCUGGCGGCAGGCUUAACACAUGCAAGUCGAGCGGGGGAAGGUAGCUUGCUACCGGACCUAGCGGCGGACGGGUGAGUAAUGCUUAGGAAUCUGCCUAUUAGUGGGGGACAACAUCUCGAAAGGGAUGCUAAUACCGCAUACGUCCUACGGGAGAAAGCAGGGGAUCUUCGGACCUUGCGCUAAUAGAUGAGCCUAAGUCGGAUUAGCGAGUUGGUGGGGUAAAGGCCUACCAAGGCGACGAUCUGUAGCGGGUCUGAGAGGAUGACACGCAACACUGGGACUGGGACACGGCCCAGACUCCUGCGGGAGGCAGCAGUGGGGAAUAUUGGACAAUGGGGGGAACCCUGAUCCAGCCAUGCCGCGUGUGUGAAGAAGGCCUUAUGGUUGUAAAGCACUUUAAGCGAGGAGGAGGUUACUUUAGUUAAUACCUAGAGAUAGUGGACGUUACUCGCAGAAUAAGCACCGGCUAACUCUGUGCCAGCAGCCGCCGUAA